rnacentral:rRNA from 1 species
UGGGGAAUAUUGGACAAUGGGGGAAACCCUGAUCCAGCGACGCCGCGUGUGUGAAGAAGGCCUGCGGGUUGUAAAGCACUUUCGGUGGGAACGAAAUAUGCCGGGCUAAUACCCCGGUAGGCUGACGUUACUCAAUGAAGAAGCACCGGCUAACUCUGUGCCAGCAGCCGCGGUAAUACAGAGGGUGCGAGCGUUAAUCGGAAUUACUGGGCGUAAAGCGCACGUAGGUGGUUUUGUAAGUCGGAUGUGAAAGCCCUGGGCUCAACCCGGGAAUUGCAUUCGAUACUGCUUAACUAGAGUAUGGUAGAGGGAAGUGGAAUUUCCGGUGUAGCGGUGAAAUGCGUAGAUAUCGGAAGGAACACCAGUGGCGAAGGCGACUUCCUGGGCCAAUACUGACACUGAGGUGCGAAAGCGUGGGUAGCAAACAGGAUUAGAUACCCCAGUAGUCCCUGAGCGGGCUGGCAAGGCGCAU